AUUGAACGCUGGCGGCAGGCCUAACACAUGCAAGUCGAGCGGAUGAAGGGAGCUUGCUCCUGGAUUCAGCGGCGGACGGGUGAGUAAUGCCUAGGAAUCUGCCUGGUAGUGGGGGAUAACGUCCGGAAACGGGCGCUAAUACCGCAUACGUCCUGCGGGAGAAAGUGGGGGAUCUUCGGACCUCACGCUAUCAGAUGAGCCUAGGGCGGAUUAGCUAGUUGGUGGGGUAAAGGCCUACUAAGGCGACGAUCCGUAACUGGUCUGAGAGGAUGAUCAGUCACACUGGAACGGAGACACGGUCCAGACGGCUACAGGAGGCGGCAAUGGGGAAUAGUGGGCAAUGGGCGGAAGCCUGAUCCAGCCAUGCCGCGGGUGGGAAGAAGGACGUCGGAUUGUAAAGCACGUUAAGUUGGGAGGAAGGGCAGUAAGUUAAUACCGUGCUGUUUUGACGUUACCAACAGAAUAAGCACCGGCUAACUUCGUGC
rnacentral:rRNA from 1 species